rnacentral:rRNA from 1 species
AUUGAACGCUGGCGGCAGGCCUAACACAUGCAAGUCGAGCGGAUGAAGGGAGCUUGCUCCUGGAUUCAGCGGCGGACGGGUGAGUAAUGCCUAGGAAUCUGCCUGGUAGUGGGGGAUAACGUCCGGAAACGGGCGCUAAUACCGCAUACGCCCUGAGGGAGAAAGUGGGGGAUCUUCGGACCUCACGCUAUCAGAUGAGCCUAGGUCGGAUUAGCUAGUUGGUGGGGUAAAGGCCUACCAAGGCGACGAUCCGUAACUGGUCUGAGAGGAUGAUCAGUCACACUGGAACUGAGACACGGUCCAGACUCCUACGGGAGGCAGCAGUGGGGAAUAUUGGACAAUGGGCGAAAGCCUGAUCCAGCCAUGCCGCGUGUGUGAAGAAGGUCUUCGGAUUGUAAAGCACUUUAAGUUGGGAGGAAGGGCAGUAAGUUAAUACCUUGCUGUUUUGACGUUACCAACAGAAUAAGCACCGGCUAACUUCGU